rnacentral:rRNA from 1 species
AUUGAACGCUAGCGGGAUGCCUUACACAUGCAAGUCGAACGGAGUGGCGAACGGGUGAGUAAUGUAUCGGAACGUGCCCAGUAGCGGGGGAUAACUACGCGAAAGCGUAGCUAAUACCGCAUACUCUUGGAACGGCAGAUGCCGGAUUAGCUUGUUGGUGGGGUAACGGCUCACCAAGGCGACGAUCCGUAGCUGGUUUGAGAGGACGACCAGCCACACUGGGACUGAGACACGGCCCAGACUCCUACGGGAGGCAGCAGUGGGGAAUGUUGGACAAUGGGGGAAAGCCUGAUCCAGCCAUGCCGCGUGUGUGAUGAAGGCCUUCGGGUUGUAAAGUACUUUUGGCAGGAAAGCGGUACCUGCAGAAUAAGCACCGGCUAACUACGUGCCAGCAGCCGCGGUAAUUC